UGGUUGUGGCACUCUUUCAAAUUGAAAGUUUUCAUUGUGGCGCUACCUCAAACCCUCGUANACUCGCUUGAAGAUCUCUAUUCCCUCAUACUCUUGCUUCUUCCUUCUUUGUAGUAAAGAAAUCGUUGCUGAUUCGUUGAAAACCCUUGUCGACAGACGAGGUGAAAACCCUAACGCAGGUCCACAGCUCGCGCCUUAACCGCUCACGGCUCCACAGCUCACGCUUCCACCGCUUACGCAUCCAUUGUCCUGCUCGGUGUAGGUUGAUCGAGUUUUGAAAGCUUACACCGUUGUCGUUGCGUGACGAAGCAUUCGUUCGACAACCACCACCGCAUCUUCUCACCUCUAGCGAGGGUUACAAAGGUAAGGAAUAAUCUUUUGGGCAUAUUUCAAUCUAUUUUGGAUAAAAGAAGAAAUGAAAGGAGGGAAAAAUUACCCUGUAAAAGGGCCAAAGAUAUGAUGGUGAAGAUGUUGAAGAUCAAAAUGGAAGAAAAUUAGGUGACAAUGAUUUUGUUAUUCAUGAAUUUGUUGGCUUUUCUUAUUCAGUCAUUAGCAUGCACUUGGGGGUUUUGAAUUUUAUGUACUCAAUCUGAAGCAAGAGUUAGAGAAAGAAUGGUAAUUUAGCANGANAAAGAAUACAUUGGAACGUGAUUGUUUUUGUCAAUGGAAAUCAUGAAGAUGGAAUGUACUAUGUGUCUAGACCAUGACUGCAGCAAUGGUUGAAAAGAAAAGUUGGUGAUGCUCCCUCUGAAGCUGAUGCUGGACCAACAACAUCUAUUAGUUGUCCACAUGGACAACUUAGGCCUGAUCAAGCUGUUGGGGGCCAAGCGGUUGCUUGUUCCUGAGGUUUUCUGGUUUUUCUUAUAUAAAGAUGCCAUUACUGUAAAACCUGAUGAUCCUCUCGGUUGUCGUGCUUUUCCUGUAGGCUCAAGUGAAUGUUUGCAAUGCCGUGAUGAAAUAUCUAAAGAGGCUUGCUUUGAGGACUCUGAGAUUAGUAAAACAAAUGCAACGACAAAAUCAUGAGAAGUUAUCUGUUGGUAAAAGUAUGCCACUUUCUUUUACAUUGCAAGUAUUUCUUAGUUCUUUCAUCGUGGAUUUUAAAAUGGACAANUUACCUGGCUGUCAAGAAUUCUGAAACACCUGAAACUUUGGAUAGGGUAAUUGAUUCACUGAUGUGUGAAAAGGUACCCUCUUUUGUUGUGCUAUGUGCAUCUUGCUUUUGUCUCAGUUUAGAAUACUACUUACUGGCGCUUUAUUAAAUGAGUUUACUUUUUAGGUGUGCAAUUAUUAUGAGAGUAGCUAUCACAGUGUGUAAAAGAGAAACAAAAACAAUCACGUUCCAAUAUAUAUCCAUUGAUUCAACACAUCUUUGAUAUUGUGCAGGGCAAACUUUAGGUUAGGCAGCAACUACUGGGCGUCGGUAUGCGUGGAAAAAGUGCUACAAUAUAGAAGAAAGCAUGUGAAUCAGCCAUGGGUGUGCUUAACAAAAUAAAGGGGUGCACGUAGUAAAAGAAAUAUGCCACGUUUGUGCUUAGCAGAGAAGGGGUGCGCUAAGCAACAUAUUCCUCUUAACUUGAAGUCUUCUACCCUUCUAGUGAUGCUUCUAGUGAUAGGUGGUUUGGGCCAAGAAAAUUUGAUCAAAUGAAAUAAAUAGAAUUGAAAUAAUUAUAAAAUGUGAUAUAGAAGUUCAAUUGAUUC